AAUCAAUUUUUUUUUUGUUUUUGGUACAACUCAUUUUUUAUACAAUUCAAUCAAAUAGUUCGUCUCUUAAUAUAAAAAUUCUCAUUAAAUUUAAUUAGUCCACAAAAAUGUUGUUAUUAGUUUUAAAAGGACUUCGUUUUACAAUUGAUUUUAAAUCUAAAAAUAUGUCUGAAUCCAACUAGAGAACAACCGUUGUUAAAUGUCAGCAAAUAAAGUUUGCAUAACUUUUAUACAUUAUGAUAUAUUUUGUUGUUAUUGUUUUUCAUAUAUUUAACCUCGUCAUCAUAUAACUAAACAGUUUUAGUUUAAGGGACUAAAACGAGUCUAUUCUCAAAGGCUUUUCCUUUGGUGAGAGUUCUGUGUUCAGGGGGGCAUUUGUGAGCAUUGGGACGUGCACCAAACCAUUGAAGUCACAUGGACUUAGUCUCCGCAUCAUGCUUGAGCGUCAUGAACUUUGAGUCUGUGAGUGACAACAAUUGUUUUAGGAGGGGGGCAACAUUGGAAUUUUAAACAUAAAAUCAUUAUAGUAUUGGGAGGGCAUUAUGGUAACUAUAUUAUUUGGUAGAGUGUUGUGCUUGAGUUAGGGUUUUAUCCGACACUACAAUGAUAGAUGAAGCUCUAUUGCAUUUUCCGGCUUGUUUAUCAUCUGCGAUCGCCGUAAGCGUAGAAGCUCCGUUCAGACGCGUUGAAGCGUAGAAGUAGUGUGCUUUCUCCAGGGGGCUUUUGCAGUCGCGUUACUAAAUGAAGAAUUCUAGCUCUUCCGAGUCUAGCAAUGUGACAGUGUCAAUGAAAAUGAAUCACAUAUUGUGUUUAUGCAUGUGGCGUUUCAUGCAAGCUUCAUACAUCAAAGAACCUCGGAAGGAAGUUUCUUAGUUGUGACUGAUAUGAUGGGAGCACUAAGUUCUGCCGGUAUUUUGCGUGGUGUGAAUUGGGUGAUGAUGUUGAUGACAUGGACAUAUUGAUAGCAAUAGUUGGAUCGCAAUUGGCUUACAUUAUGGAAUUACAAGAUAGAAAUGUGGAAUUGAAUGAUGAAUUAAAUGAAGCAAGUAAGAUGCUUGAAAUGGUGAAUGAAUUGUUGGCGGUAGUGAGUAAUCGAGUUGAAGAUAAUGUGGCUGAAUGCAAGAAAAUCAAGUUACUUGUGUUGUUCAAGGCGUGUAUCUUGGUUGCAAAGAGUCCUUUAUUUAUUUUAAAGUUUUUAUUAUGGUGUUAUGUCUUGUAAUUCAGAUUCGGGUUGAUGUAGUUAUUAUGUUUGUGUAUGAAUGUUGUUAUUUGUUGUUUUUGAGUUU